GCAUCUUCUUAAAAGUAAACUAGUUAUAAGUGACUGAACCAAAGAGAACAGAUUACAAAAGAAAAACAGGAUAGGAUGGAUCAUGAUAUCAAUGGGGUUCAUGUGUUGACAUCUUGUGCUGCUGAGAUUACCUGCUCCUCAGAAAAGUGAAAGAAUUAAAGCAAGGAUCUGCUACAUUCACAGUCUGUUUAGGGAAGAUAUAGAUUUUCUCUGCUUUGGAGUUCCAGAGGACAAAACUCAGAGACCAGAGAUAAAGGGGAUUGGUUUGCCAAUCACAGAAGCUGUAGAGCGCGUCUGUAAACAAUUAGGAGCUCAAGUCAAUACUGAAACAAAUAGCACACUACAAGAUUAAGAAACAGUAUGAAAGCCUGGUGAGGAAGCACUAAUAUCUUCCUCUUAUGUCCAUACUGAGGCACUGCGGGAAUGAGUAACAGGAGAAUCCCAUACCGACCUCAGCCCAAGACAAGUAGUCAGACCCAGCUCUAUUUGCAGUAAAUGCACUUCAUAGACUGUUUUUAAAGAAAAGAUUCAAUAAAAAUAACAAUAAUAGUAUCAAGAGUAAAUAUAAAUCCAGAAGGGUGGAUCCACUAUCUGAGAAAGCAACAUUGACAAACAGCUACAAGGAUCUAGGGGAGGACCCUUUAACACCCAGGGUGGAAGGAAGUGCUCUUGAUUUCUAUGGAGCUGGACCUAAAUUGAAAGGAGUUGUAGUCUUAGAAGCAGAUUUUCUGAUACAAAGAUUGUCAAAUUCAUUGCUUCGUAACAUCUCAUAAAACCUGCUUUGUGUUUACUCCAAUAUUUAUGUAUGCAUGUAUGUAUGUAUGCAUUUAUUUAUUUAUUUAUGCAUUCUUUCUAUGUUUUAGAACUAGGUCUUACUCUGCUUUCCAGGCUAUUUUCAAAUAUGCUACCAACAUGCCCAUCUUCUAGUCCAAUGUUUAAAUAAAUUAUAUUAACAUCUGCAUUUGAAGAAAACUUGGGAAAUAAUGCAAACAUAUUGCACGUACUAUAUAUACACACAUAAC
rnacentral:lncRNA from 1 species